AUACAGCGGGCGAGUUGGGCCGUUUUGACUCGAGAGGAAGCAAAGUUAGUUUGGCUGGCAGAUAGAUGUUCCUCGGCUCGAUGGAGCAAAGUGAGUGACCCUGACAGCCAUACUCCGUACAAGGAACCGGGUAGUUCUUCUGCAUACUGCCAAUUUCCCCCCAACGCCCAUGGCCGCAUCUCUACGACAUCCACUCCGUCGACACAAAUUCGCCAUCCACAUGGCCCAUGGGCCGUUCGUCCUUGUCGCGAUCCCCAGGAAAUCACCGAGUGCCGAGGCUGUUUGGAGCGAGGUCACAUGAGGCAGACGACAUGGCAAACAAAAAUUCUAUCAGACAAUUAUCGGGAAUCAGGCUAUGGACAGUGUGACAGCGCUAAGCACUAGGAACUCCUCCGAUAACGCCCCUGGUCCCGGGCCACAGGGUGAUGCCCCGCUAGCUGUAUCAGAUGAAAAGUCCUCCUGAUCGCUGUUUCCCACAGCCAAGGAUCUAGAUAGGUUGGAAGAAAAUCAGACGCCUUAGCCAGUCAGAUUUAAAACACCUAUACAACCAAUCAGGUAACAACAACCACUGCUUGAUCCAAUCUCAAAGGCAAAAUAAACACAAAAAACCUCACAAGACAAAGAGUAAGGAACAGAAGCCGAAGAUAAGAGGGAGAAAGAAAAAUGAACAAUCAAGAAAAAGAGAAACAAAAGCACACACAAUAGAAUACUACAGACGAAGAAGAGGAAGAGUGUCAAAGAAAUAAUGAUAUGCUACAAAUCACCUAGCACCUGACCUCACGAGUCACGACACAGGCUCUACAGCAGUAGAUCCUCUUCCCCCUUCUCCCCCUUCCAUGCCCAUGCCCACUCCCACUCCCACUCCCACUCCCACGCCCGUGCCCAACCCCCCAACCUUCGUCCCAUUCCGCAACUCCACUCCACCCCUUCCCUUCAACCCAUCCGGCGUACAGAUCCUCCCGGACCGCAUCAUGUUCCUCAGCCGCUUCCUUCUUGCUUCGCCACCGCGCUCCUCCCCCUUCGAACCCCCUUCAUCCACCC
rnacentral:sRNA from 1 species